rnacentral:rRNA from 1 species
GACGAACCGUCCAAACGUUAUUCGGAAUCACUGGGCUUACAGAGUUCGUAGGCGGUCUGGAAAGUUGGGUGUGAAAUCCCUCGGCUCAACCGAGGAACUGCGCUUGAAACUACCAGACUCGAGGGAGAUAGAGGAAAGCGGAACUGAUGGUGGAGCGGUGAAAUGCGUUGAUAUCAUCAGGAACACCGGUGGCGAAGGCGGCUUUCUGGGUCUUACCUGACGCUGAGGUGCGAAAGCGUGGGGAGCAAACAGG